rnacentral:rRNA from 1 species
UGGGGAAUUUUGGACAAUGGGCGCAACCCUGAUCCAGCCAUCCCGCGUGUGCGAUGAAGGCCUUCGGGUUGUAAAGCACUUUUGGCAGGGAAGAAACAGCCUGGGCUAAUAUCCCGGGCGACUGACGGUACCUGCAGAAUAAGCACCGGCUAACUACGUGCCAGCAGCCGCGGUAAUACGUAGGGUGCAAGCGUUAAUCGGAAUUACUGGGCGUAAAGCGUGCGCAGGCGGUUCGGAAAGAAAGGUGUGAAAUCCCAGGGCUUAACCUUGGAACUGCACUUUUAACUACCGGGCUAGAGUACGUCAGAGGGGGGUAGAAUUCCACGUGUAGCAGUGAAAUGCGUAGAGAUGUGGAGGAAUACCGAUGGCGAAGGCAGCCCCCUGGGAUGAUACUGACGCUCAUGCACGAAAGCGUGGGGAGCAAACA